UCUUGAUUCGGUGAGAUAGGGAGGAGGAAGGUCUCGUAAUUUGGGUUACUGUGUAGGUGGCCUCUUUCAUCUAUUCAUAACAAAGCUGAGCAGCCUGCUGUUGCCGCCGCGGCCGCCACCAUCGCCCCUUGGCUCUCCCGGGGCUCCCGGGGCGCGCUAGCAGUACGCCGAGCGGGCUCCCGCGCCCGCCCGUCCGCCCGCGGGGCUGCUCCAACGCUCGGGUUUUGUUUACGAGAGCAGCCUGGGGAUACGCAAUGCACGGGGAGCCAGAACCCAGGGCGCCGAGGGUUUGCAGCUGAGGCCCAGGGCUCAGGCCACAGGGAGGCUGCGGGGAGGCUGACAGGUGUGGAGCGGCGGGAGGGAGGCCCAGGGGAGGCGCGCGGGAGACGUGGACGAGCCGGGGAGGCUCAGGGGACCAAGGCGUCCCUGCCACAGCGGUUGGGUUUCCCCUGGUCACAGGAGUGAGGUGAGGAAAAGGCAGGCGCCAAGACUCCGCUUCUGGACAAUCCCCGGGGCCAGAGCUCCCAUAUUUGAAAAGGUUCUCUCAUCUCCCUUGGCAACGGAGUCCCAGGCUCUCAGACCUAGUGCUUAGAAAGUUCUACUCCUCAUCUAACCUUAAUGAUCCUGGCUAACGUUUAUUGAGCACUUACUGUGUGCCGGGUGCUGUUCCAAAUUUACCACAUGGACUAAGACUCAUUUAAUACCCUAAUAACCCUUUUAAUUAGUGACUGUUAUUAUCACUCCCGUUUAGCAGUGAGAAUGAUCAUGGAGAGGUUAUGGAAUUCCGCGGGGGUCCUAAUGCUGGUUUGACAGUGGAGGUGAGAUUCGAAUCCCUAUCUAGCCCCAGGGCCCUUUCUUUACGCAUCCCGCCCUAGCGGAGCGCCACCUGUGGCCCAUUCGAUACCGCUGCGAGAUCAUCCUCCGCAGGUGAGAACUGAAAAGGUCCCCAAGUUAAAUGCUCCAACCUGCCCUGCCCAGCCCAGCCUUCUAAUCUUAGAGCCAGGUACCCUAUUUCCCUAGAGGCUCUCCCUCUGUCUCAUCCUUUCCCACUUCUUUUCUUUGGACCCUCCGAGGUCUCCCCACCUCACCCAGGGGUGCCUCCAAAGCCAGCAAGAAUUUGUGAAGCCCGGCGAAUGUCUGAAUCAUUGCACACCUGGGUGUCCGUUCAUGAUUUCGCAGGAGGGGCUUCCUAGAGGAGACACGAGUGCCUCCCAGCUUCCUGAGGCGGCCGAUGGCAUCACCAGCACACUUAGAGUCUGGCAGAUGAUCCAGAUGGUGUACCUGAGGACCCUGAUGCAUCCUUGCAAACAGAUCUCUGUCCCCUCCCUGAGUAUUUCCAGACCAGAGGGCCCAGGGAGAGUUACUGGUUGCAUCCCCUCUCUCCCUUCCAUUCCUGGUUCCCCAACUCUAGAUGGAAUCUGUCUCAGGGGGGACGGGGUAAGUGGGCUUCCUCCAGAUGCUGAGCCUUCUUGAAGGAACGGCUGUUGCAGGUUUUCAACGUCUACAGCAGUGCAUCGCGUCCCCGCCCCGUGCUGAGGGAUAAGGCAGGAGAAGGAGCUCUGAGAGGCUGGAGGAGCUGAGGGUGAGGUGAGGUAAGAAGCAGAAGAGAAAGAAAAGUUUCUGCCCUUGACGUGCAGUGGAAGGAUCGGAUCACUCCAGCGGCGGCUCUCCUGUUCUGGAUUCAGAGUGGUCAUCGAUCCCUUCGUAAUUUCCUCGUUUGAAACUGGAAUCAUCAGGCCUCACUCCCCCAAUCCCUGCCCACCAGAAAUAUUUUAAGAACUUCUGCACGGCUGGAAAUGGGGAAAGCGGUACGUGAGAGACAUCUGCAGGAGCUCACAGAAGCCGUCACCGCAUAGUAGGGCAUUUACGUGCUGGCAGUUUGACAAUUUUCCCUGUGAGCGAUGAAGAAGGCGAUGAUCUCCACCGCUGUCAUGAACCGGCUGUGGCAGUGUUGUUAUGUGCUGAGAAGCAACAGUUCAAUUCCAUUCCGGAGAUAGUUUUACUUCACUCGUAACCAAGCAAUUUCUCUAAGUCCUGCCGAGUUGGUACAAUCAGUGGCCAACCAUCUUGGGAGCUAUUUGGAUUAAGCAUACUCUAUGGGGCAGCAUUUUGAUCACUACUCAAUUCAUUGCUGCCUCGUUUUGAGAAAGAGACGUCUUAAAAAUACUACCAGCAAGAAGUAUAAAUGGCUUUGAUGGCUACAGUUUCUCACCAUUCCACGGGACCAUAAGCCCCACUCUUGAAAGCACGCUGCUUUUUCUUCCCAUUUAAUUGGAUGCAGGCGCCCAUGGUGAAAGAAAUCAGAAUCUGUGCCUACUUUUUGGCAUGAAAAAUGCAGGAGACUAGGAAGCACAUAAAUGCAUUCUUUGCUGAUUCUACCCCAUUUUGUACAAACAUGUUUGCCCCUUUCCAAUUUUCCUGUGUACUAAAGCUCCACCUUCAGGACGCAAGUUCACAUUUGAAAAGUGUGGGAAACACGAACAACAAAAAUAAAUAUUUAAGCAUGUGGAUUCUGUCUUUGAUGGCUUGCUCCUGGACGCUGGCGUCUGGCCAAGGGGGCAAGUCCCAUUGGCAACAAAGCUUUCCUCUCCAACUGAUGGAGCCCAUCCUGGUGGGCGUCACUCGUGGCACAUUCGGAACUCCUUGUAACACAACUGGCUGAAACCCAGAGAAAAAGAAGAUGGUGCAGAUUUAUCCUCCAGACAGAGGCCUGCUACCACGGAAACAGGCAGUUCAGACUGAUUCCGAGCAGUUUUAUUUGUAGCAUUCAGUAGAUGGGAAAGUCUUCAUAAUGAGAAAAUAUCAACUCCCUCAGGCAUCUAAGGCAAUCUGGGUUAACCAGACCAUCCACAAUCAGACUCAUUUCUGCUGGACAGGACUUUAUAGAUUCAGUGGUUUCCUGCUGAGGCUCAGGACAUUAAGAGCUGCUCGGUAGGCGAUUGGUCACAGUCACAAGAUGGCUAUCACUGGUGUUUUCAGUUUUCUUUCUGACUUAAAAAAAUUAUUUGACAGUGAUCUGUAGGGAUGACUGGGCUGGCAGAGAUCAAAAGCAACUAAGAUACUAGUUCUAGUGGUCAACGAAUUCUCUGCCUUGUACAAGGAGCUACAACCCCUUGGCAGCAUUUGGGAAAUGCCCAGUGGGUCGAAUAGUACCAGUGUUGUCCUUCUAGGACUUAAAACAGGCCACUUCCCUCUCCACAGCUUUGCUCAAAUCUAUGUGGUCUUCCGCAUCCAGGCCCUUAUCAAAGCUCCCAGCCCCUUUUGGUGACUGGCAGGAAAAAGAAAUGAGCCAGCCUCCUUUCCCCGUCUGCUGAUGAGUAGAUGGUUGACAGCAGAUAAGAUGAAGGGCCAUUUAAUAAGUUUGAAUUGACGCCGAGAGACGAGUUGAAUGCAACUCAAUCACCAUGAAAAGUCAGUCAAAUGCAGCACAGUUAAGAUGUGACUGAAGGAACACAAUGCUUGUCUUCUUGCCCACCCAACAGGGCCCCAGGCAAGUGUUGAGCAUUCUUAUGCUUGGCGACACUGCCCCAUGCCUUUGGUUAAAGUGAUGGAACUCUGGUUGACCCCAAACAUUACUGUUGUCCUCUUUCCUGUGUCAUAGCUUGCUUAAUAGUUCAUGGUCAUUUACCAGCAGAGUUGCAACGGUAGAUGGGAGAAUGGGUUGGAGGUACAAAUAAACAAUUCUUUACUCAA